rnacentral:rRNA from 1 species
UACAGAGGGUGCAAGCGUUAUUCGGAUUCACUGGGCGUAAAGGGUGCGCAGGCGGCCAAUUGUGUGAGGCGUGAAAGCCUGGGGCUUAACUCCAGAAUUGCACCUCAAACUACAUGGCUAGAGCAUUGGAGAGGGUAGCAGAAUUCACGGUGUAGCAGUGAAAUGCGUAGAUAUCGGAAGGAACCCCGGUGGCGAAAGCGGCGCGCUGGAUCGCCACUGACGCUAAGGCACGAAAGCCAGGGGAGCAAACGGG